rnacentral:rRNA from 1 species
AUUGAACGCUGGCGGCAGGCCUAACACAUGCAAGUCGAGCGAGCGGCGGACGGGUGAGUAAUGUCUGGGAAACUGCCUGAUGGAGGGGGAUAACUACUGGAAACGGUAGCUAAUACCGCAUACCCUCAGAUGUGCCCAGAUGGGAUUAGCUAGUAGGUGGGGUAACGGCUCACCUAGGCGACGAUCCCUAGCUGGUCUGAGAGGAGGACAAGCCCAAAUGGAACAGAGACCCGGUCCAGACUCCUACGGGAGGCAGCAGUGGGGAAUAUUGCGCAAUGGGCGUAAGCCUGAUGAAGCCAUGCCGCGUGUGUGAAGAAGGCCUUCGGGUUGUAAAGCACUUUCGGAGGGGAGGCGUUACCCGCAGAAGAAGCAACGGCUAACUCCGUGCCAGCCGCCGCGGUAAUAC